rnacentral:rRNA from 1 species
UACGUAGGUGGCAAGCGUUGUUCGGAAUUACUGGGCGUAAAGCGCGUGUAGGCGGCUCUUCAAGUCAGACGUGAAAGCCCCGGGCUUAACUCGGGAACUGCGUUUGAUACUGUCGAGCUAGAGUGUGGAAGGGGCGAUUGGAAUUCCGUGUGUAGCGGUGAAAUGCGCAGAUAUCAGGAGGAACACCAGCGGCGAAGGCGGCGCUCGUGGGCCGGAACUGACGCUGAGGAGCGAAAGCGUGGGUAGCAAACAGG